CUCCGGGCGGCCGUGACCCUGCUGGAGUGCGGGGGGCACCUCCAGCCCCCCGGGGGGUCCCUGCGCCUCCUCUGCCGAGGGUCCGGGUUCGAUUUCGGGAGUUUUGGGUUGCAAUGGAUCCGCCAGAAACCCGGGCAGGGGCUGGAGUGGGUCGCAGGGAUCAGCAGCAGUGGUUCCAGCACCUACUACGCGCCAUCGGUCAAGGGCCGGGUCAGGAUCUCCAGGGACAACGGGCAGAGCUCGGUGACGCUGACCAUGACCGACCUCCGGGACGGGGAUUCCGGAUCCUAUUUCUGUGCCAAGGCUGCUGUGGCUGGUUGGGGUGCUGAUACUGCUGGUCUUACUCUCACCCGCCCAGCCCAAACCACAACUCCUGACCCCAAAUCUCCUCUUUCUGCCCCAAACUUUGCCCUGAAGGUCGGCAUUUGA